CAAUACGCUGCACCACUACAGUCUUUAAGCCCGGAGAAGCAGGAAGCAGCAAGGGCGGGGGUGUGGGAGGAGUAAAAGAGCAAGACAAAAAAAUAGAGAUGAAAGGCAGUCCCCAUGCUCUGCCCCAUAAGAAUGGGCCUUGUGCCUGGAACACUUCCUUGCCAAGUUCCAGGCUCUGUGUGUGCUCCUCUGUUAGUCUUAAUCAUAUGUGUCAACGGCCCUCAAGCACACCCCCAGCUUUCAGUAUUUCAGGCCCCACAGGGGAAGGGUCAGCGUCCUACUACUGCAGUACAGGAUGGGUAUGUGAAGGCCUCUUGCCCUGCAUUGGCUGCCAGAGGGGCCCACUAGCCAUGCAAGACUCAUGCACAUUGUUGGAGCUGAUCUCACCCUGUCUCUUCUCUAUGUGGCUGGCAUUAUGAUGACCUUGUCUAUCCUCCAGAUAGUUGGAAUCUUCACCUGGCAUUGGUAACUGGUACAUGUUUUUCUGCUCAACAGUAGGCUUACAGAUGAGGUCAAGUACAAACUGGAAUAGGGAAGAAGUUUUAACUUGAAUAAACAAUUGUAUUAG
rnacentral:lncRNA from 1 species